rnacentral:rRNA from 1 species
UAGCUGUUCGGAGCACAUUAGUGCAUUGAGUGGUUAAGCGAAAGUGAUAAGUAACCCACCUGGGGAGUACGUUUGCAAGAAUGAAACUCAAAGGAAUUGACGGGGGCCCGCACAAGCGGUGGAGCAUGUGGUUUAAUUCGAUGAUACGCGAGGAACCUUACCAAGGCUUAAAUGCAUAUUGACAGUUCACGAAAGUGAAUUUUCUUCGGACAAUUUGCAAGGUGCUGCAUGGUUGUCGUCAGCUCGUGCCGUGAGGUGUCAGGUUAAGUCCUAUAACGAGCGCAACCCCUGUGGUUAGUUACCAGCAUGUAAAGAUGGGGACUCUAGCCAGACUGCCGGUGCAAACCGUGAGGAAGGUGGGGAUGACGUCAAAUCAUCACGGCCCUUACGCCUUGGGCUACACACGUGCUACAAUGGUAUAUACAAUGAGCAGCCAUCUGGUGACAGAGCGCUAAUCUAAAAAGUAUAUCACAGUUCGAAUCGGAGUCUGCAACUCGACUCUGUGAAGCUGGAAUCGCUAGUAAUCGCACAUCAGCCAUGGUGCGGUGAAUACGUUCCCGGGCCUUGUACACACCGCCCGUCAAGCCAUGGAAGCUGGGAGUGCCUGAAGUCCGUAGCCGAAAGGAGCGGCCUAGGGUAAAACUAGUAACUGGGGCUAAGUCGUAACAAGGUA